rnacentral:rRNA from 1 species
AUUGAACGCUGGCGGCAGGCCUAACACAUGCAAGUCGAGCGGAUGAAGGGAGCUUGCUCCUGAAUUCAGCGGCGGACGGGAGAGUAAUGCCUAGGAAUCUGCCUGGUAGUGGGGGAUAACGUCCGGAAACGGGCGCUAAUACCGCAUACGUCCUGAGGGAGAAAGUGGGGGAUCUUCGGACCUCACGCUAUCAGAUGAGCCUAGGUCGGAUUAGCUAGUUGGUGGGGUAAAGGCGUACCAAGGCGACGAUCCGUAACUGGUCUGAGAGGAUGAUCAGUCACACUGGAACUGAGACACGGUCCAGACUCCUACGGGAGGCAGCAGUGGGGAAUAUUGGACAAUGGGCGAAAGCCUGAUCCAGCCAUGCCGCGUGUGUGAAGAAGGUCUUCGGAUUGUAAAGCACUUUAAGUUGGGAGGAAGAGCAGUAAGUUAAUACCUUGCUGUUUUGACGUUACCAACAGAAUAAGCACCGGCUAACUUCGUG